UACGGAGGGGGCAAGCGUUGUCCGGAUUCAUUGGGCGUAAAGAGCGUGUAGGCGGCCUGAAAGGUCAGCUGUGAAAACUCGAGGCUCAACCUCGAGACGUCGGUUGAAACCAUCUGGCUAGAGUCCGGAAGAGGAGUGUGGAAUUCCCGGUGUAGCGGUGAAAUGCGCAGAUAUCGGGAAGAACACCCGUGGCGAAGGCGGCACUCUGGGACGGUACUGACGCUGAGGCGCGAAGGCGUGGGGAGCGAACGGG
rnacentral:rRNA from 1 species